rnacentral:lncRNA from 1 species
UGUGGAGGCAGCCUGUCAUGAUUUGGGGGAGACCUCAGUACGUUAGAAGUUGACUUUUGGUUUUUUAAGAGUUGCUUUUAAAUUAAUAACAUAUUUCCAAGGAUAUGCUAUGGCAUUGGAAAGCCAAAGGAUUCACGAAUUUUGUUGUUACAGUUGUUGCUAAUAAAAGGAGUAUUACUCUUCCCUCUGUGUCAGAGCCUUACAAGAUACAAGAAAAGAAGGGACCUUGGCCAACAUUCAUGGGACACUAAAUUAAGGACUAUCUUUCUGCCCAAAAACCUAGGGGAAUUCUGAUUUUGGCCUCCAGGGGCAAGUCCCAGAGCUGAAGGGAUAAAAAAGUUAGACUGGAAAUUAAGUACAUGGCUGGUCCACACCAUACUGGAAUGCCCAUACUACUAUGUUGGUUUUUGGUGACUGAAUAAGUUGACCCAAGAACUCGAUAUCAUUUGGAUUUCAGAUUGUCCAGGGUGGAGAAGUCAGAAUCAUCAAAAUGACUCAGUGAAACCCUUAGACAUAAUGAAUUACUCGUCCAUCUGAUUUCUGGCCCCUUCUCUCUUGCCCUACUCUGACACUGACCCUUUCUCAGGACGAUAUCUGCCUGGCUGUUUUCUCUACUGUGCUGUCAGUCCCACCUGUACCUUGCAUGGUAAUACAGAGGAAUGUGAAGCAGUCAUGUUUCCAGGAAAUGCUUGGAUCCAUGUCACAGAUGUCUGACAAGCAGGAUGGGAAGGUCAAUGAUCCCUCACACGCCGAAGGAGGAAUAUCUUUUCCAUCCAAGAGAGGAUUGAGGCAGAAUGUAAGAAAUACUCAACUGGGAACUAGCCUUUGACGGUUUCUUAAUGUCUUUUGGUCUGGGGAUAGCUCAUCAGUAAAAUGAGUGGGCUGGACUGCGUCAAUCAAUUCCCAGGUUUUUUAUUGUGACUAUGUAAAAAAUCCCUAGAAUAUGUGUAUGUAUAUAUCUUGAAGACUUUUUCAGUAAACUAUUCUUACCCAUAUGACGUGGGAUACAUCCUGAUAUUCUAUUUUUUCCUUUUUUUUAAUAAAAAAUUCUGUUGUCACAACCCAUCGAGUUGAUUUUAACAGCUACUAAUGGAGACUGGCGUGUUUGAAAGGUACUGGGUAAUCUCCAAGUUAAUCACUCAUUUACUUGGUCAUUUUCCAGCUAUUUACUGAGUAUUUAUGAGGUGUCAGCACUGUGAUGGGAGCCAGGAAAAUGGCAAUGAACAAAACAAAGAACCUGUCCUUGUGACACAUAUAUCCUGGGAAAUCUCUGAUUCUGCGAGGUAAUGUUUUAUAGGCUUUUUCAGAAGGAAGGGAAUUCCAACUCAAUCAGCUAAAGUCAUAGAAUGGGUUUGACUUAAAGGAGAAAAUAGCAGAAACACAAAUUUUUUGAAACCCCUGGCAGGAACCCACCUCAAGGUCAAAACAGUCUGAACCCAAACUGUAUGCAUCUGUGUCAAAUGAAGAUUUCCGUGGGUCCUAAAUCUGCUCCAGUAACUGCUUGGAAGUCCCUGAGGAUGUUUCUUUCUCCCUUUACCAUACUUUGCAAAAAUCAAGGUGGCUUGAAGGGCAGACUUUUUUAGAUAAGAGAUUCCAGAAGCCAGAGUGGUGGAAACGGAUGCUAGAUAGCACUCUGACCAAAGGACACUCCCCUGAAAAGUCUUACCCCUAUGUUCGCACAUUAGCCAUACCUCCAGCACUUUCAAACUUACAGGUUUAUGAUUGAAUUUUCCAGAAACCAUGUUAUGCCAUUUUUAUACAGCAGAGGGAAGCAGGGCACCCAAAAUCAUUGCAUAAAUUAAUAUCUGAGGGACACACACACACACCUGCCUGUGUCUUGUGACUUUAGGUACUAAAUAAUAAUAUCACAGGAUUGAAAACAAAUUCUGGGCAAAAUGCUGCAAAAGGAGAUGCUUAUUUUAGGUUAACGGCUCUAUUUUAGCCUCUGCCAGUCUGAUUAUCUCCCAUCAGUUCCUGGGAGACUCAUCCAGCAGGAGGCCCUCUUUUCAGUUUGGCCUGCUGGCAGUCUGAUCACUCCCUAUUUUCCUUGCCCCAUGGACUUGCUAAGUCAUGGAAUGUCUCUGUGGUCUUCUGAGUCCAGGCUUGAUGCACAGCCUUCGGACCAUGACACCUUUUACUUUAGCUGUCGAGGAUGGUAAGGUUCCUGCUCUCUUCUACAUAUUGCACAAAGUGGAAAAUAGCACAAACUGAAGUGUGAUCAUGCUGAGUAGUCAGCUGUGUUUGGGAGAAAUGAGAUAUAAACUUAAUUAUACAAAACCUCAGGGUCCAAUCAGUUUUCCAAAGCCCUCCCUUUAUUUUUUAAUCCCCCCCCCCCCCACUUCUUUACAGACUUGUCCCUGUGCUUUUUAGCACUGGCCACUCCUCAAAUAGAAACAGAUGCUGCAAUGGACAAUAGGCUUAGCCAUGACUUUCCCUUUCCAGCUCUCAUGGACUCCUUCCCUACCCAAGUGUAACCAGGCAGUUAGUCUAGAAGGGCUCUUUCAAGUGUGACCAUGGAUUUACUUUUUUAAGAUAAGAGGGGAGGGCAGGAUCAUAUAACUGGUAAGACUUUAAGGUUAUCAUCAAGAGUCAGCAAGGAUUAUGGCUCCAGUGUUUCUGGGUACUCAGCAUCAAUGAGGUGGAAAGAAGUGAGAGGCAUCUUUUCUUUGAAAGUCGAACUUGCGAUUUUGAAAUAUUAUCCCAGUAGCUGGCCAUCCUGGGUCAGUGGCUAAGAUAUAACACAAUGGACAGAUCAUUUUAAAGUUUCAGUAAGUUCAACAAUGCUAAUGAACUGAUUUUUUUAAAAAGCAUUAAAUGUCCACAUUUCUAUGACUAAUAGAAAAUAAAAUUUUAAAGGUAAAAAAAGGGGAGGGGACAAAAACAGGAAACAGAAGUAGUUAGGAUAAAAGGGAGUUAGCAGAAAAGAUACUGGGCAGGAUGUGGUAGACAGGCACCAGUAACUGUUUCAGGGGGUGCCUGGGCGGCCCAGUUAAGCCUCUGA